UGCCGACCGGCACGGGCG
rnacentral:misc_RNA from 1 species